ACGAACGCUGGCGGCGUGCUUAACACAUGCAAGUCGAACGGAAAGGCCCUGCUUGCCGGGUACUCGAGUGGCGAACGGGUGAGUAACACGUGGGUGAUCUGCCCUGCACUUCGGGAUAAGCCUGGGAAACUGGGUCUAAUACCGGAUAUGACCUUCCAUGUAGUGUGGGGGGUGGAAAGAUUUAUCGGUGUGGGAUGAGCCCGCGGCCUAUCAGCUUGUUGGUGGGGUAAUGGCCUACCAAGGCGUCGACGGGUAGCCGGCCUGAGAGGGUGGACGGCCACAUUGGGACUGAGAUACGGCCCAGACUCCUACGGGAGGCAGCAGUGGGGAAUAUUGCACAAUGGGCGGAAGCCUGAUGCAGCGACGCCGCGUGGGGGAUGACGGCCUUCGGGUUGUAAACCUCUUUCGACAGGGACGAAGCUUCGGUGACGGUACCUGUAUAAGAAGCACCGGCUAACUACGUG
rnacentral:rRNA from 1 species